AUGAACGCUGGCGGCGUGCCUCAUCCAUGCAAGUCGCGCGAACGGACGAGAAGCUUGCUUUUCUGAUGUUAGCGGCGGACGGGUGAGUAACACGUGGAUAACCUACCUAUAAGACUGGGAUAACUUCGGGAAACCGGAGCUAAUACCGGAUAAUAUUUUGAACCGCAUGGUUCAAAAGUGAAAGACGGUCUUGCUGUCACUUAUAGAUGGAUCCGCGCUGCAUUAGCUAGUUGGUAAGGUAACGGCUUACCAAGGCAACGAUGCAUAGCCGACCUGAGAGGGUGAUCGGCCACACUGGAACUGAGACACGGUCCAGACUCCUACGGGAGGCAGCAGUAGGGAAUCUUCCGCAAUGGGCGAAAGCCUGACGGAGCAACGCCGCGUGAGUGAUGAAGGUCUUCGGAUCGUAAAACUCUGUUAUUAGGGAAGAACAUAUGUGUAAGUAACUGUGCACAUCUUGACGGUACCUAAUUAGAAAGCCACGGCUAACUACGUG
rnacentral:rRNA from 1 species